rnacentral:rRNA from 1 species
GCCUAACACAUGCAAGUCGAACGGAACUAUAAUGAACGAUUCUUCGGAUGAGGGAAUUUUAGUUUAGUGGCGGACGGGUGAGUAACGCGUGAGUAACCUGCCUUUGAGAGGGGAAUAACGUUCUGAAAAGAACGCUAAUACCGCAUAACAUAUAUUUGCCGCAUGACAGAUAUAUCAAAGAUUUAUCGCUCAAAGAUGGACUCGCGUCCGAUUAGUUAGUUGGCGGGGUAACGGCCCACCAAGACGACAAUCGGUAGCCGGACUGAGAGGUUGAAAGGCCACAUUGGGACUGAGACACGGCCCAGACUCCUACGGGAGGCAGCAGUGGGGGAUAUUGCGCAAUGGGGGCAACCCUGACGCAGCAACGCCGCGUGAAGGAUGAAGGUUUUCGGAUUGUAAACUUCUUUUGUUAGGGACGAACACUGACGGUACCUAACGAGUAAGCUCCGGCUAACUACGUGCCAGCCGCCGCGGUAAUAC